AACAACACAUUCUUAGAUUAUCACCAGGGGCCGUUCAUAACCCUAACCCAAAUUCCGCAACAGCUUAAUCUAACAUCCGCUUGAUCUUGAGCUGUUCUUCCAACGAUUUUACACACUAAACCCAGGUUUUAGUGAUCUAUAGUGAAGAAGUAAACGGCAAAUGAAUCUACAAUCAAAAGUUUGGAAGAGGAUAUACACAAGAUUGGAGUCGAUGUGGUGGAUUAUAUCAAAGGGGCAGUUGGAAACGCAAAGCAUAUAGGACCAUGGGGUAUGGUGGGGCUUGGGU